rnacentral:lncRNA from 10 species
UAAAAUUUAUGCUUCUGUUUUCUGGCCAACAUUACUGGUCCUGGAGAUUUUAUUCAACCCAAGCUGUGUUACAGAAAAAUAUUAGCCUUUUCCUUUUUAGGGUUUGGGGUUCAAACUUUUCUCCCUUCUUGAGGAUGCAUCCGAGGGGCAUGUCCCAUGGUAUGAAUAUGUGAUUAUCCAUCUGUGAAGAGAGAAUAGAGGAUUAAAAAAAAGGGAAAAAGAAGGGUAAUCUAUUCUGUGCCUGUAGCCUGGGACCAGCCUUCAUCUCUGUCCGAUGAGAAGCCUGUGUCUGUACCAGUUCAGCCAACUGCCAGAAUGGAAUGGACUUCUUUCCCUUCAAAUAUGACCUUGAAGGUCUGGAUGCAUAUUGGCAAGGGCAUGGAAGUGAUUCAAGAAAUGGAGGAAAACGUGUAUGUGAGAUUCCUCGUCCUCCUCCCUAACCAUCACCUGAUGGUUGCCUGACAUUCCUUGGCAGGGGUGAGGGGGUCUCCUGCCCUGCUCAUGUCUGCCUAGCUACCUGCAAUAAGAGACUGACAGCUUCAGGGUGGGGCUGGUCACCAUAGACAGAGGCAUGAUUAGAGGGUUGGGACUUAGCUCCACCACCAACCUACCAAGAGGGGAGAGAAGCUGAAGGUUAAGUUGAUCACCAAUGGCCAAUGACUUAAUCAAUCAUGCUUAUAUAAUGAAGCCUCCAUAAAAACCCAAGUGGCCUGGGUUCACAGAGUUUCCAUACCACGUGGAGGUUCCUGGGGGGUGGUAUGCCCAGGGAGAGCAUGGAAGCUCUGGCGCCCCUUCCCCCAUACCUUGCCCUGUGUAUCGUCUCUUUAUCUGUAUCCUUUGUAAUAUCCUUUUAAUAAACUGGUAAAUGUGUUUCCCUGAGUUCUGUGAGGUGCUUCAGUAAACCAAUCAAACCCAAAGAGGAGGUCUUGGGAACCCCAACUCAAAGCUGG